rnacentral:lncRNA from 1 species
UGGGUCUUGGUGUGGAGGCCGCGUGUCUGGGGACCAAGCAGCUGCUGGCACCAGCGAGUCUUUCCGUUGCGAUAAACACAGACGCAACAAAACGUUCUUUCUCCCUCCUCCUGUUAUCUUGUUCCUUCUCCCAGUGAAAAAUCUUUAUGUCCUCAAGCUCAAGCAUACCGCCACCACCAGUCUCAGCCCAACGCUCUACCUCAACAACUCACCUCGUUGUUUACAUUUUUGUUCUUUGGUCGUCGUCCAUAGAAAAGAAUCCCCAUCGUCAGGUCGUUUAUCUACUCCAAGCUGGCGUCUGUGAUAGGGUGAGGCAGCCAGGCAGGUAUGGUCUUUGGGCUCAUGUUGUGCUGAAUGGGGCAGGGUAGUUGUGGGGGGGGAAGCGCUCGUCUUAUGCUUGUUGAGAUUCGGCUGGGUGCAAGCAGCCAGGGCCUUGCAGCCAGAAAUUGUUCGUCCUGUAUGUUUGUGUGGAGAAGAAGUGGUGUGAGUAGAAAAGGAACAGCGAGGGGGUUGAUGCUAAUUUGUGUAGAUGUUCGUUUUCUUUUUCAGAUUUCUUCUAAGACCUGAAAAGUGCUAAGAUAUGAAAUCAGUUUGUUGGGUUCACAAACAUGAGUUCUCUAUGUUAAAAUAUUUGUUCUAGGUUAACUGAUACUUCUCUGUAUAAGUUGUGUUAAUGUUAAACAUAAUAAUACUUCUUUAAUCUAUUACAAUAAAUCUAAAGCACCAACAAUCAUAAAAUGUUAUGAGCACCUAGCUUAUGAUGAAUGGUUGAGUUGCUUCUAUUCGUAUCCUAAAUUUAGGUGUCCGAAAGGGCUAAGCCUAUGUUUCAUUAAGUCUGUGGAUGAUUACCUAGCUUAGGCGUUUAUAGGUCGUGUCUAGGGUUAUUAUUUUCUUGAGAUUUGAGCAAGCCCGGUUAAACCGAACGAACAUGAUUAUUGUGCUAGCGAGUCAUAGGUAUAUAGGAUUUACGUACGAAGUUUGUGAUGCUUUUUAAUCCUCUUCGGUAUAAUGAUAAUUAGUCGUGUGCUAUUCCUGUCUAUAUGCAUUCAUGUGCAUUAUGCAUUUCAUUUAGGCACGAUAAUUAAUCACGUGAUGCGGAAGACGACCCAAGUCGACCCCAGGAUAAUGCAGAGAUUGGACAUCUCCGCAAGACGAUGUUGUCAGUCGGAUAAAUCUGAAGAUGGAUAAUCUAAACAAGUGUGAGACCAAAAGCUGAUUGCCAAGUGGACGCCACCUAACAAACACUAACGUAGUGUUUAUUCCAGGCAAGCCUCGGUGCAUGCAACCCCUUCCUUGUGUUUUUAAAUAAUUUUUACACACUUUAAGUCUAGCGAAAUGUGCAUUAGGUUUAUAGGAGUUGCUUGGAAACCCUUUGAUGCAUUGUCUACCUUGAUAUCCAUACCUUUAUAGAUACUUCUGAUGAAGUAUCAAAAUAUGAUUUACAAAAAUUCUUAUCCCUGCUUAGAUCUUAUGGAUAGAGGUUGUCCUUUGCGUUAAUGCCUAGCUCAGGGGUUAUCUUGAGGAAGGAUGGCUUCUGCCUGCAAGAAUAUUUUCAUUGGGAGCAAUGGUGGGAUCUUACUGCAAAGUUCCCUAUAAUGCUCUUUUCAUCCUAAGGAAUACAAACAAUCCUAAGGAUGGAAGUACUUAAAUCGGGACUUGGGCUAGGAACAUGUGAUGUUCUACCGAGGUUGAUUAAGGAUUAUACUUAAUGUAGUCUUGAUGAUCGAGGAUCUUUUAACCGGUCACAUGCCUCGUCAUGGGUAAGCUUUGCCUCGGGCAGACUAAUACCAGAAUAAGAUAGCACACAAUGGGAGUGGAGAGAUGGCGAGAGUAGCGUGUACCCUCCGUGGCAAGAGGCUGGACGGUGGUGUAUCUGUACUCUCGGUUGGCGUGAACCUGAUCUGGUCUUAAGAACCCCGAUUGCAAGUUGACAUAUGCAAGGGUUAAGUGCUACAUAUGUCGUGUGAUUGGAGAUCCCUAGCUAGGUAUUAAUCGAUUCGGAUCGCCGUUACUUCUCGGACAUGAAGACUUGGUCAUUGACCUGCAAUCUAAGUCAUGGAUGGAAUCUUAAUGAGAAAAAAUCAUGUUGGAUUGAUUAAUGUGAUGGUGAAAUUAGACUAGAUGCAAACAAGGUCUAUUAAUACUUAAUCUAGCAUUAAAAUGUUGAAAGUAAGGACUCACUUUAGUAAGCUAUUUCUGCAAAAGUCUCUAAGUUGAUUCUUGCUAAAGCCUUUUCCUUGAUUCCUAUUUAACCAACAUAUCCUUGACAGUCUUUUCUUUAGUCGGGUAAGUCUUGCUUUGUACUUGCAUACUUAGGGUUUUACCCAUUGUUGGUGCAGGUUACGAGUCACUUGAUUGUGAUUGGUGUUAAGCGCCGGUGGGCACGGCCUUCUUAUAAGUCUAAGUACUUCUUCUAGACUUCUUAUUGAGGAUGGUCACUUAAGCUAGCAUAUAUUUCAUACUUAUAAUAAUUUUAUAACAUUUCAAAGUUUAUUGCUUUGAAUCACUUUGUAACCACACCGAUAAAUAUAAUGUAAAUUUGUUGAAACUUGUAACUUUUUGUAAUAAAGAAAUUCCACUGCA